rnacentral:rRNA from 1 species
GUCAAACCUGUAAGCAUAGAGAACAAACAGUAAAUUAUCAAGCUCACUACCUAUAAAUGGUGAAAUAUUUAAGCUAAAGAAACCAUCAACAUGAUUAUUUUUACAAAUAUUGGUAAUAAACAAGGAUUAGAUACCCUUUUAUACAAUAAGCRAUAAACUUACUAAGUACUAAAGCUUUAACGGCUGAAACUUAAGCAACAUGGCGGUAAUUUUUAUAUUUAGGGGAACUUACCAGAUGAUUGAUAACCACCAAGGUAACCCAACUAUUGGAAAUUCUUGUAUGCCGUCGUCGAGAUUAUAUUGGGAACAUAAUCGAUAAAACUAAAGACAGAUCAAGGUGCAGACAAUUUAAUAGACUAGGCGAGUUACAGUAGCGGAUAUAUGGGAGAAUUACCAUCUUGAAGUAGGACUUAAAAGUAAUAACUAUUAUGUUUAAACUGUGAAUAAAAUG